UCCCUCCUAGGAUGGCACCUAGGGAGUUUCCAGUACUCUACCAGUCUCGGCUGUGGGAGGGUGAGUCAAGCAGAGGCCUACCCAUGCCAUUUCUAGCUUAGGCAGGGGCUAGUGAGUGGAAGGCAAUCUGCUUCAAGU